CCAGCAGCCGCGGUAAUACGUAGGAAGCAAGCGUUAUCCGGAUUUAUUGGGCGUAAAGAGGGUGUAGGCGGUUUUGUAAGUCGGAUGUCAAAUCUCCCGGCUCAACUGGGAGAGAUCAUUCGAUACUGCGAGACUAGAGGACAGCAGAGGGAAACGGAAUUCCCGGUGUAGUGGUGAAAUGCGUAGAUAUCGGGAGGAACACCAGUGGCGAAAGCGGUUUCCUGGGCUGUAACUGACGCUGAGACCCGAAAGCGUGGGGAGCGAACAGGAUUAGAUACCCUGGUAGUCCACGCUAUAAACGAUGGAUACUAGGUAUGGGGAGUAUCGACCCUCUCCGUGCCGCAGCUAACGCUUUAAGUAUCCCGCCUGGGGACUACGGCCGCAAGGCUAAAACUCAAAGGAAUUGACGGGGGCCCGCACAAGU
rnacentral:rRNA from 1 species